rnacentral:lncRNA from 1 species
GCGACUUUUUUCAUUUUUCAUAAGUGGGCAAAAAACAGCAAAAAAGUAAGGCUAUACCCUUUACUUUUCGUCCAUUUUUAGCGACUUUUUUCAUUUUUCAUAAGUGGGCAAAAAACAGCAAAAAAGUAAGGCUAUACCCUUUACUUUUCGUCCAUUUUUAGCGACUCUUUUCAUUUUUCAUAAGUGGGCAAAAAACAGCAAAAAAGUAAGGCUAUACCCUUAACUUUUCGUCCAUUUUUAGCGACUCUUUUCAUUUUUCAUAAGUGGGCAAAAAACAGCAAAAAAGUAAGGCUAUACCCUUAACUUUUCGUCCAUUUUUAGCGACUUUUUUCAUUUUUCAUAAGUGGGCAAAAAACAGCAAAAAAGUAAGGCUAUACCCUUUACUUUUCG